GCUAGGUGUGGUGGCACAUGCCUGUAAUUCCAGCUGCUUGGGAGGCUGAGGCUGGAGGAUCACCAGCCUCAA
rnacentral:sRNA from 1 species